ensembl:lncRNA
GGAACAUUUUAGAUCAUUAUUUUCUAAAUGUGGUAUCUUAUUAUUUACGUGUUUUUUUGGCUUUUUUUUUUGGCUUUUUUUUUGGGCUUUUUUCCCCUCCAUCAUUUGACAAACUGCUAUGAUACAGAAAAUCAAUAAUGUUAUAUAUUUUUUAAUUAAAUUCAGGAAUAAUAAAAAGGUAUGACCUAACACUAAAUGGACUAAUAAACACUAACCACACCCAAGAAAGAAAUUCUUAACCAGGAAACAAAGCAAAACAAUAAUUUAGGUUGUAAUACCCGCUAAGUUAAAAAAAAAAAAAAUGUUUCUUCAGCACACACACUUCAUUAAUUUUUUUACAUAGAAAAACAUAGAAAAAGAUUCAUAGCUGGUAUCAUGGGAAACGCUAGCAUCGAAAAAAAAUUGCUGUUCUCACCUGCUACCCACACACACACAUCCGUGCUAAGAUAUGCUAGCAAACACGGAUGUGUGUGCUCAUACACUCUAAUCAAAAACCCACCCAGAAACACGUGAACAUGAAUGGUAAUGUCCUCUCUGUCGCUAUCGCUCACUUUCUAUUCCAGUCACACUCACGCUUGUACACACACUUCACUAGGCUUGGUGUGAUGGUGGCUAAUUUAGCGCUUAUGUGGUAUAGAGGUAAUAGGAUCUGUAAGCAUAGUCUCUCUCUCUAUCUCUAUCUCUGUCUCUCUGUGAUUUUCUUAAGUGUUUAACUGAUCUGGUGCCCUUUAUCAAGUAACAGCGUCUUUUCGGAAAAAGGUUGGGCUCUUUAGCCAAAUAGCUUCUUGCUAAUUAUGAGCACAUUUCAUUCUAAAGGUCACUUGCUACUUACACACAUGUAAGAAUUUAAAAGUGUACUGUGGGUGUGGUUAUGAGUCCAUCCACUUGUUUUUAUGUAACUUAAUAUGUUAAUAUAGAAAAUAUGAUGUGGUGUUCUUUAAUAAACACACGACACACAGUGGUUUAUUCCUUACAUACAACACAGCAGAUCGCAGAAACAGAAAACGAGCCAACCUGCGUGCGAUAGUACUGCGUUUUCUAAAAAUAAGCACGUUUAAUAAGCAUAAACAUUCAUACAUGUCAACUGAAAGGUUUUCACAUAAAAUUCAUUUUAAAGAAAUAUUUCAAACGAGAUGAACGGGAAUAGGGUGAAGUUUAACGCCAAGAUUUAAAAAAUAACAUCAAUACUUAGAAUUGGAUGAAUGGGAGUACCUCAAGGCUCAGCUCUAGGCACAAUCUAAAUGUCCUAUCUUUAAUAAAGUGCAAUAAAACAAUAAAAAAAAGAAUAAACCUAGAAAUGUCAUAAUGUCUAUUAUAUUGUCAAAUACAUAUUCAGCAAAAUUUAAGAGGGAAAUCAUGUAUUUAGAAUUGGAUUAAUGAAAAACCUCAAGGGUGAGCUGUAGGCCCGAUCAAGAUUAGAAAAAGGACCCAAUAUAAAUGACGUAUCAAAACGAUUCCAUAUUCAUAUUUUCUACCUCACUACAGUCCAGAGAAGCUUUUUUUUAAUGUUCUGAGGAAUGCAAACAAUGGCUCUGCUAAUUAUAUUAUAUAGCGCUUUGUUUUCUAAUGACGUUUUCGGUCCAGAACGUCAGUGUUAUGAAUUAUUCAUAUAUCCUGUGAUCUAGCGGGCAGAGAGUAAUAAAUGCACAUCCGCCCCUCUCCUUUCUGCUUCAGAAAAAUUCAAUCAAAAUGCAGGCUGAUGUAUAUAUCAGACCAUAGUUUUUGUAGGGAAACAAAAAGAAUAGUGUGUAAGUCUUAUCAAAAAGAGAAUAUUCCUUCGGUCACAAAAAAAGCCUGAAAAUCCCACAGACAUAAAUAUCCUACCAUACCAUUCCAUAGAUAUUACCACACCAUAAAUAUUCUACCACUCAGUAUCCACCUUAAGCCUUAUAUUUAUUUACAUUCAUCCAUAUAAUUAUAUAAUUUUUACAGUUUUAUAACAAGAAAGUUUACACUGUGCUAUUUUCGUUGGGACAUUCAGUGUCGCACAUAAGACUCUCGCAUGGUAAAAACAUUCUUCAGCGAUUAAUUGGUAGCUGAUUUAGUACUGUACUUUGGCAACCAAAGACAUCUGACGACAAAGUUCUGUCACCUUGAGAAAUUUUGAAUUAAAAUCUAUGUGAGUGUGAGCGCUGUUGAAAGCCAAUAGUAUGUAUAGUAUGACCAAUAGGAGGAUGGUAUGACCAAUAGGAGGAUGGUAUGAUCAAUAGGAGGCUUGGUAUGAUCAAAAGGAGGAGGUAUGACCAAUAGAGACAUGGUAUGACCAAUAGGAGGAGGUAUGACCAAUAGGAGGAUGGUAUGACCAAUAGAAGACAUGGUAUGACUAAUAGGAAGCAUGGUAUGACCAAUAGGAGACAUGGUAUGACCAAUAGGAGGAUGGUAUGACCAAUAGCAGACAUGGUAUGACCAAUAGGAGGAUGAUAUGACCAAUAAGAGGAUGGUAUGACCAAUAGGAGACAUGAUAUGAUCAAUAGGAGACAUGGUAUGACCAAUAGGAGGACGGUAUGACCAUUAGGAGGCAUGGUAUGACCAAUAGGAGGCAUGAUAUGAUCAAUAGGAGGCAUGGUAUGACCAAUAGGAGACAUGAUAUGAUCAAUAGGAGACAUGGUAUGACCAAUAGGAGGACGGUAUGACCAAUAAGAGGCUGGUAUGACCAAUAGGAGGAUGGUAUGACCAAUAGGAGGCAUGGUAUGACCUACAGCAGAAGUUAUGACCAAUAGGAGACAUGAUAUGAUCAACAGGGGGCAUGGUAUGACCAAUAGUAGGAUGGUAUGACCAAUAAGAGUAUGGUAUGACCAAUAGGAGACAUGGUAUGACCAAUGGGAGGAUGGUAUGACCAAUAGGAGGCAUGGUAUGACGGCGAACUCGCGGGAGAUUUUAUUGACCACUUUAAUUGCAGUGCCUAAGACAGGAUUUGUCUUCAUAAUGAACUGGUUAGUUAAGUACAUUAGCUAGCUAAGGUUAGCAUUUCUGUCCUUUGUAGAAAUUAUUCUAGAUGGUGUUUGUUUGUAAAGAAAUAGAAACUGAGAUAUUGUAUAAGUAUUUCCAGAGCAACUCAAAAAGAAGGAUUUGCUAAGCGCUUUAACUCGACAUAACAUCAAGCUAUUUCAUUUGAGGCCAAAGCCUGGCGGCCAUGUUUUAUUUACUCCUCAUGCAUUAUUGACGCAUAAUUCAGGAUGGAGCUGAUAUCUGUGUCGGGAAGUUAUGACGAUUUCAUUACCUCUCUCUCUCUCUCUCUCUCUCUCCCUCGCUUUGAAAUGCAGAUUGGAGUAUUGCUUACGAGCAUGGUUUACUUACUGGCUGAAGCGUAAAAGUCGUCUUCAAAAGCUGGAGGUCAAGUGUCUAUAGAACCUUUAGUCCAUGUAUCCCUGCACCGUGGCUAAAAUGGAACAAUAUCCUUUUAUCUUUUCUUGUGUUGUGAUCACAAGGGAGCUCAGAAACCCAAAAAAUAAAACAGAAAAAGAUGGUGGAGAUAAGGGAAUUAUGUGUUUUUCACUUCCUCCUCUCCUGCUUUCUUCUGUUUUCCCUGAAUCCCCUAGCGAGAAAAUUGAUGGACUGACAGGACUGACAGGAAAAAUGCAGCGACCCAGAUUGAACUUUCAUGCAAUUUCACUCCAACAAACAUUAGAGGAAGAAAGAAAUAAAGAAAGAGAGAGAGAGAGAGAGAGAGAGAGAGAGAGAGAGAGAAUGUAAGAGAGAGAGUUGGUUUAACAAUUAAAGCCUUACCCUGAUACUAAGGCAUUAGCAAACACCUCAGGCUAAGCUAACACAAAUUAACCUGACUGGAAAUUAAUGACUGUUUCCUCCCCCCUGUUUCUUUCACCAUCAACGUGUUUUUUUUUGUUGUUGUUGUUUUUGUUUUUUUCUGGACAGAUCUACGGCUGCGAUAAAACAACAAACAUUCUGUGUUAUAGAGCACGGUCAUUAGCAAGCUAGCGUAAUGAACCGUUGAUGAGAUUGAAGUAAAUCUUCACUCUGCUUAGUUAAUGUAAUCACUCUCAAAGGCAGGGGCGGGGGGACGCAAUCACGAUACACAUUCUUAUUUACUUAACUUUGUUUUUGUUUUGUUUUUUGUUAUAUCCAAGUCUCUCUUCUGCAGUUGGAAAUUCAACUACGAGAAAACAGGCGGUAGCCUGAUGCUAGCAGAAGCAGAUGGCAAAAAAUUGUAAAUCACUGUAAUGAAAGAGCUCCAAGCCAAACUCAAGAACUUCAUACAUUACAUUCGAUUAAAGAAGCGUGUUAAGACAAUUGUGAGCAUUUGAAGCUUCACCACAUUUAUAUUGUGCACGGUAGAGUAUAUUGUGUUUACUAGCAAAGCUACUGGAAUCAAGACAAAACAAUGGUGUUAAUUGGCAAUUUGCUGUAGGACAAGAGGAAUAGCAUACUCCGUGUCGUGCUGUAAUAGUAAUAUAAUCAGCAACAGAGUGGUGUCAUGACGCGUUGAUUAUUUUCAUAUAACGGCGACGUGUUUUAUUCCUCUUAUACCAGUUCGCGAACAUACGUGGACAGAAUUCUGGGUGCUGAUUGGUCAGAAGGCAUUGCUUAAUUACGAAAAACAAGAAGUGGCUAAUUUGUUUUCCUCUAUAACAGCACAUUCCAUUGUGAGAUUUAUUUUACAUUGUAUUACUCCCUAGAUAAUAGCUUAGUGUAACCGGAGUAGUAAGGAGACGCGAUGGGGGUUGAGAUUCCAAUUCCAAUUUGCAUAUCAUGAAUAUUCAUAAAUCCUUUCAUUCUUUAUGAAUGUAAAGGUGAAGAGAUGUAUGUUCCUGGGUGAUUUUUAGUCAUUUCUCAAUUUAGUAUUCAACCUAGGGAUUUUUUGUUGUUUGUUUGAUUUUGGUAAUGACUUAAAACUAGACAUUCAUGGGUACUUUAACACACAAGUGAGAACUAAUCAGUGUUUUUUGGACACAGUUUGUUAAUGUUCAUGUUUCAUAAUUAUGUUUAUC